rnacentral:rRNA from 1 species
AUUGAACGCUGGCGGCAGGCCUAACACAUGCAAGUCGAGCGGAUGAGAGAAGCUUGCUUCUCGAUUCAGCGGCGGACGGGUGAGUAAUGCCUAGGAAUCUGCCUGGUAGUGGGGGACAACGUUUCGAAAGGAACGCUAAUACCGCAUACGUCCUACGGGAGAAAGCAGGGGACCUUCGGGCCUUGCGCUAUCAGAUGAGCCUAGGUCGGAUUAGCUAGUUGGUGAGGUAAUGGCUCACCAAGGCGACGAUCCGUAACUGGUCUGAGAGGAUGAUCAGUGACACUGGAACUGAGACACGGUCCAGACUCCUACGGGAGGCAGCAGUGGGGAAUAUUGGACAAUGGGCGAAAGCCUGAUCCAGCCAUGCCGCGUGUGUGAAGAAGGUCUUCGGAUUGUAAAGCACUUUAAGUUGGGAGGAAGGGUUGUAGAUUAAUACUCUACAAUUUUGACGUUACCGACAGAAUAAGCACCGGCCAACUCUGUGCCAGCCGCCGCGGUAAAAC